rnacentral:rRNA from 1 species
UAGGGAAUCUUCGGCAAUGGGGGCAACCCUGACCGAGCAACGCCGCGUGAGUGAAGAAGGUUUUCGGAUCGUAAAGCUCUGUUGUAAGAGAAGAACGUGUGUGAGAGUGGAAAGUUCACACAGUGACGGUAACUUACCAGAAAGGGACGGCUAACUACGUGCCAGCAGCCGCGGUAAUACGUAGGUCCCGAGCGUUGUCCGGAUUUAUUGGGCGUAAAGCGAGCGCAGGCGGUUUAAUAAGUCUGAAGUUAAAGGCAGUGGCUUAACCAUUGUUCGCUUUGGAAGCUGUUAAGCUUGAGUGCAGAAGGGGAGAGUGGAAUUCCAUGUGUAGCGGUGAAGUGCGUAGAUAUAUGGAGGAACACCGGUGGCGAAAGCGGCUCUCUGGUCUGUAACUGACGCUGAGGCUCGAAAGCGUGGGGAGCAAACAGG